GAUCUGCUCACUUUGUCAGCUAAGGUGGCAGCCUUCAAGCACACCUUCUCCACUUCAAGUCUCAGUGUAGAGCACAGUGUCUGAUCAUUUAUCACAGAAUCCCAUGGCAGGCUUGUUAACACAAAUGUAUGACUUGAGUCCAAGCUUCCUCUUUGAGUUCCUGUCCUAGGGUGAUUCUUGUAUUCCCAAUGGUCUGUUCUGUUUAUGCUGGAUAUUGUAUCCUGUGCCUUCAAGACGGCUCUGAAAAGUGAAUGUUUUGUUUUAUUAUCAGCCUGCUCACUCCCCCACAGUCGGCAGGACACAGCACAAACCAUUUGAACCUGCUCUGGGCUGGGACCUGGGAAACACGGAAUUUGCACCUUGUGGCCUGCAGCAGCUAUCCCCAGCACCAGAGGGACCGACAGCAAAGCGACCACUCCCAGGAGAGACUUUCUGAAUUUGUCAUCUUUUUCAGAGCGGUGAAAGAGUACAGUCAUCCGGGUGUUUCUUCAUGACAGCAAUGUGAUUUGCAUGGGAUGAGCCUUCAGGUGUGAGAUAGGCCCAGAUAAUUUAAAAGGGAGCAGUGCAAAACCCCAGGCAAAUGUACAUCAUGCUAUAGACCAGUGUACGACUAGAGGAGUCAGAUACCCGAAUUUCAUCACUUCUAAAAGCCCAUGACUGGUUUCAGGGUGGCAUUGUGCAGAUACAGAAUUGAUGCAUGUCCUUGAAGAAUGCCAGUCUGAAUAUAAUCAACCAGAGAGAGG